CGUCCAAUCAUUGGUGUCUUGGGAUGUGUAAGCCUGAACCAGAGAGCUAAGAGAGGUGUGAAGUUUGCUGUGGAUGUCAGGCCUGCAUUGACUGACGUAACUCCAGUCCACAACAGAAGAUGGAAGCUU